GACGAACGCUGGCGGCGUGCUUAACACAUGCAAGUCGAACGAAGUGGCGAACGGGUGAGUAACGCGUAAUCAACCUGCCCUUCAGCGGGGUCCAACAGUUGGAAACGACUGCUAAUACCGCAUACUGAAGGAGGGGAUGGAGUCGGAUUAGCUAGGUGGAGGGGUAACGGCCCACCAAGGCGAUUAUCAGUAGCCUGGCUGGAAGGAUGAACGGCCACAUUGGGACUGGGAAACGGGCCAGAAUCCUACGGGAGGCAGCAGUUGGGAAUCUUCCGCAAUGGACGAAAGGCUGACGGAGCAAAGCCGCGUGAGUUAUGACGGCCUUCGGGUUGUAAAGCUCUGUUAAUCGGGACGCGGUACCGGAAUAGAAAGCCACGGCUAACUACGUGCCAGCAGCCGCGGUAAUUC
rnacentral:rRNA from 1 species